GUGGGGAAUUUUGGACAAUGGGCGCAAGCCUGAUCCAGCAAUGCCGCGUGCAGGAAGAAGGCCUUCGGGUUGUAAACUGCUUUUGUACGGAACGAAACGGUCCGGGUUAAUACCCUGGGCUAAUGACGGUACCGUAAGAAUAAGCACCGGCUAACUACGUGCCAGCAGCCGCGGUAAUACGUAGGGUGCAAGCGUUAAUCGGAAUUACUGGGCGUAAAGCGUGCGCAGGCGGUUUUGUAAGACAGGCGUGAAAUCCCCGGGCUCAACCUGGGAAUUGCGCUUGUGACUGCAAGGCUGGAGUGCGGCAGAGGGGGAUGGAAUUCCGCGUGUAGCAGUGAAAUGCGUAGAUAUGCGGAGGAACACCGAUGGCGAAGACAAUCCCCUGGGCCUGCACUGACGCUCAUGCACGAAAGCGUGGGGAGCAAACAGGAUUAGAUACCCUGGUAGUCC
rnacentral:rRNA from 1 species